rnacentral:rRNA from 1 species
CUCCUACGGGAGGCUGCAGUGGGGAAUAUUGCACAAUGGGCGCAAGCCUGAUGCAGCAACGCCGCGUGAGGGAUGACGGCCUUCGGGUUGUAAACCUCUUUUAGCAGGGAAGAAGCGAAAGUGACGGUACCUGCAGAAAAAGCACCGGCUAACUACGUGCCAGCAGCCGCGGUAAUACGUAGGGUGCAAGCGUUGUCCGGAAUUAUUGGGCGUAAAGAGCUCGUAGGCGGCUUGUCGCGUCUGCUGUGAAAUCCCGGGGCUCAACUCCGGGCCUGCAGGGGGUACGGGCAGGCUUGAGUGCGGUAGGGGAGAUUGGAAUUCCUGGUGUAGCGGUGGAAUGCGCAGAUAUCAGGAGGAACACCGAUGGCGAAGGCAGAUCUCUGGGCAGUAACUGACGCUGAGGAGCGAAAGCAUGGGGAGCGAACAGGAUUAGAUACCCCAGUAGUCCA